rnacentral:rRNA from 1 species
AUUGAACGCUGGCGGCAUGCCUUACACAUGCAAGUCGAACGGUAACGCGGGGCAACCUGGCGACGAGUGGCGAACGGGUGAGUAAUACAUCGGAACGUGCCCAGUAGUGGGGGAUAGCCCGGCGAAAGCCGGAUUAAUACCGCAUACGACCUACGGGUGAAAGGGGGGGAUCGCAAGACCUCUCGCUAUUGGAGCGGCCGAUGUCAGAUUAGGUAGUUGGUGGGGUAAAGGCCUACCAAGCCUACGAUCUGUAGCUGGUCUGAGAGGACGACCAGCCACACUGGGACUGAGACACGGCCCAGACUCCUACGGGAGGCAGCAGUGGGGAAUUUUGGACAAUGGGCGCAAGCCUGAUCCAGCCAUGCCGCGUGCGGGAAGAAGGCCUUCGGGUUGUAAACCGCUUUUGUCAGGGAAGAAACGCUCUGAGCUAAUACCUCGGGGUAAUGACGGUACCUGAAGAAUAAGCACCGGCUAACUACGUG